rnacentral:rRNA from 1 species
UGGGGUAUAUUGCACAAUGGGCGAAAGCCUGAUGCAGCGACGCCGCGUGAGGGAUGACGGCCUUCGGGUUGUAAACCUCUUUCAGCAGGGACGAAGCGCAAGUGACGGUACCUGCAGAAGAAGCACCGGCUAACUACGUGCCAGCAGCAGCGGGAAGACGUAGGGUGCAAGCGUUGUUCGGAAUUACUGGGCGUAAAGAGUUCGUAGGCGGUUUGUCGCGUCGUUUGUGAAAACCAGCAGCUCAACAGCUGGCUUGCAGGCGAUACGGGCAGACUUGAGUACUGCAGGGGAGACUGUGAUUCCUGGUGUAGCGGUGAGAUACGCAGAUAUCAGGAGAAACACCGGUGGCGAAGGCGGGUCUCUGGGCAGUAACUGACGCUGAGGAACGAGAGCGUGGGUAGCGAACAGG